rnacentral:rRNA from 1 species
AUACGUAGGGAGCGAGCGUUGUCCGGAAUUACUGGGUGUAAAGGGAGCGUAGGCGGGAGUGCAAGUCAGAUGUGAAAUACAUGGGCUCAACCCAUGGGCUGCAUUUGAAACUGCAUUUCUUGAGGGAAGUAGAGGUAAGCGGAAUUCCUGGUGUAGCGGUGAAAUGCGUAGAUAUCAGGAGGAACACCGGUGGCGAAGGCGGCUUACUGGGCUUUUACUGACGCUGAGGCUCGAAAGCGUGGGGAGCAAACAGGAUUAGAUACCCUGGUAGUCCACGCUGUAAACGAUGAUUACUAGGUGUGGGGGGACUGACCCCUUCCGUGCCGCAGUUAACACAAUAAGUAAUCCACCUGGGGAGUACGGCCGCAAGGUUGAAACUCAAAUGAAUUGACGGGG